GGACAAUGGCGGCGGCGCGGGGGGGGGAUAAUGCUGCGCCUACAACUCCCAGAAGGCCACGCGGUGGGGUGCUGGACCAAUGGGAACUCCUACCCGCUGGGCCUUCGACCAACGGGACGUUUUACCCUUUGGCGAAUGGAAAUUCCCGUACUCCGGAUUUCUGCCAACGGGGCUUUCUGGCUCACUGGCCAAUAGGAACUCAUGUUCUCAGGCUUUCCACCAAUCGAGCAUUCUGGCCCUUCCGGCGGUGUCCUAGCUGUGGAGCCUGGGGCGUCUGCACCAGAGCUGUGGUGGACCGAGAGCGGCGGAAGCUGGGGUAUUUGUUUUAUCCUGGUGAAAAAAGUGAUUUUGUUUUGUCCCACUAGAUCCCUGUGUAAUCUGAGAUCCUCAAUCAAUUCUUGCAAGACAGAGGGGAGCUCAUGCAUGGCACAGCCUGGAAGCAGGAGGUGGCACUGAUGGUACAGGAUCUUUCUUCUACCCAGCCAAUACUCUGUAAGAACAGUGGGCAGCACGGGAACUCAUGGCGAUCUAGAGAUCCGUACAGCAGCAGAGCCAAACAGGCAGAGUGAUGGUGACGGACGACUGCAGAGCUGAAGCGGCAGCUCUGUGAAGGGCAGCACCCAGGGCAGAGUCCACCAGCGCGCAGCCAGAGGCUCCGUCUUCUAUGCCGUGGAGAAUUCGAUACAGCAACGUGCUGAUCUUACAGUGAUGGAUAAACAGCACGUGCUAAUCCUAUGGUGGCAACCAAGGACUCAGAUUCUCCAAUGACUGGAAAAAGAAGAAAGAGAGGACAGCAAAUUUAGUGCCAAAACGGGAGAUAGCAUCUUCACAAUAUCAGGACUGAAUCUGACCCGGACACAAGGGCCAGAACUAGUGUUACACCACGGGCAGCUUUCCUCCAACCCUCCACCAUGCCACUCUGCCUUGGAGCCAGCCAACUACGGACUGAAUGCUCUACAAAACAGGA